rnacentral:rRNA from 1 species
CGGACGGGUGAGUAACACGUGGAUAACCUACCUAUAAGACUGGGAUAACUUCGGUAAACCGGAGCUAAUACCGGAUAAUAUAUUGAACCGCAUGGUUCAAUAGUGAAAGACGGUUUUGCUGUCACUUAUAGAUGGAUCCGCGCCGCAUUAGCUAGUUGGUAAGGUAACGGCUUACCAAGGCAACGAUGCGUAGCCGACCUGAGAGGGUGAUCGGCCACACUGGAACUGAGACACGGUCCAGACUCCUACGGGAGGCAGCAGCC